rnacentral:rRNA from 1 species
CCUACGGGAGGCAGCAGUGAGGCAUAUUGGUCAAUGGACGCAAGUCUGAACCAGCCAUGCCGCGUGCAGGAAGACGGCUCUAUGAGUUGUAACCUGCUUUUGUACGAGGGUAAACGCAGAUACGCGUAUCUGUCUGAAAGUAUAGUACGAAUAAGGAUCGGCUAACUCCGUGCCAGCAGCCGCGGUAAUAAGGAGGAGUCAAGCGUUAUCAGGAUUUAUUGGGUUUAAAGGGUGCGUAGGCGGUCGGAUAAGUUAGAGGUGAAAUCCCGAGGCUCAACUUCGGCAUUGCCUCUGAUACUGUUCGGCUAGAGAGUAGUAGCGGUAGGCGGAAUGUAUGGUGUAGCGGUGAAAUGCUUAGAGAUCAUACAGAACACCGAUUGCGAAGGCAGCUUACCAAGCUACUUCUGACGGUGAGGCACGAAAGCGUGGGGAGCAAACAGGAUUAGAUACCCUAGUAGUC